rnacentral:rRNA from 1 species
GUCCACGCCCUAAACGAUGGAUACUAGUCGUCGGAAUUCCCAAUAGUUUCGGUGACGUAGCUAACGCGUUAAGUAUCCCGCCUGGGGAUUACGGUCGCAAGAUUAAAACUCAAAGGAAUUGACGGGGGCCCGCACAAGCGGUGGAGCAUGUGGUUUAAUUCGAUGCUACGCGAAGAACCUUACCCAGGCUUGACAUCCCGGGCUACCCUGGGAAACCAGGGGUUCCUCUUUGAGGACCCGGUGACAGGUGCUGCAUGGCUGUCGU